UCGCCUGUUUAUCAAAAACAUCUCUCCUAGACUAUGAGUGGAUUAGGAGUAGGCCCUGCCCUGUGAUUGGGUUUUAACGGCGGCGUUAAGCUUUAAAGUAGCACGAUAAGUUGUCCUUUAAUUGGGGUCUGGUAUGAAUGGGUUGACGUGGAAGUACUGUCUCAGAAAAAGUGUUCGAAAUUUUCUUUUCAGUGAAAAGCCUGAGAUAUUAUUAAAAGACGAGAAGACCCUGUCGAGCUUGAUUAUCUUGGGGAGGGGUUCUUUCAGGAAAAGUUUCAUUGGGGCAAUAGAGGAGAAAAUAAACCUCCUGUGGUUUAUCGUAGAUCCACCUUGUGGUGAUAUAAGGAAAAAGUUACCGCAGGGAUAACAGCGCGAGACUAUCUGAUAGACCCUAUUGAGGAUAGUAAUUGCGACCUCGAUGUUGGAUUAGGGUGACAACUCGGCGCAGAAGCUGGGUGAAGUGGGACUGUUCGUCCUUUAAAUCUCUACAUGAUCUGAGUUC
rnacentral:rRNA from 1 species